rnacentral:tRNA from 1 species
UGGCGGCAUGACCGAAUGUAA